rnacentral:rRNA from 1 species
AAACCAACCGGGAUUGCCUUAGUAACGGCGAGUGAAGCGGCAAAAGCUCAAAUUUGAAAUCUGGUACCUUCGGUGCCCGAGUUGUAAUUUGGAGAGGGCAACUUUGGGGCCGUUCCUUGUCUAUGUUCCUUGGAACAGGACGUCAUAGAGGGUGAGAAUCCCGUGUGGCGAGGAGUGCGGUUCUUUGUAAAGUGCCUUCGAAGAGUCGAGUUGUUUGGGAAUGCAGCUCUAAGUGGGUGGUAAAUUCCAUCUAAAGCUAAAUAUUGGCGAGAGACCGAUAGCGAACAAGUACAGUGAUGGAAAGAUGAAAAGAACUUUGAAAAGAGAGUGAAAAAGUACGUGAAAUUGUUGAAAGGGAAGGGCAUUUGAUCAGACAUGGUGUUUUGUGCCCUCUGCUCCUUGUGGGUAGGGGAAUCUCGCAUUUCACUGGGCCAGCAUCAGUUUUGGUGGCAGGAUAAAUCCAUAGGAAUGUAGCUUGCCUCGGUAAGUAUUAUAGCCUGUGGGAAUACUGCCAGCUGGGACUGAGGACUGCGAC